rnacentral:lncRNA from 1 species
GGAGAACUAGGUGGCUUUCUGAUCAGAGUUCAGAUAAAGAGGGUCACAGUAAUUUGCGGGCACUGCCUAAAAUAACCCAAUGGAUUCGAGAGUUGCAGCCAAAGAAGCAAACAAACAAAAAAGAGCCAAACAAAGAUGAUGAGCUUUAUGAGAUUAUAAACGGCAAGGGGGUAAAACAGCACCAGAAUGGGAAUCUAACAUCUGAAAGUCAUUUUCCAAAACUUCAUUCAGCACGGGAACAAUGCCGCAUUCAGGCGUAAUGAGCUGAGAAGGCGUGGUGCGCCAGGUCAAACUGGCGGUCUCUGAGCUCCUCUCAACGGAGUGCUUUGCCAAGAUGACAAGAGGGAAUGAAACAGAAGUUUGAAGAUGCAAAAUAAAAUAAGGCCAAAGACCUAAAGCAUUUUGUUUGAGCAAAGUUGUGCAAAGAACUAGAAGCCAGUCUAGAAGGGGAGUAGAUGAUAUGGACUGCACCCUACAUCGGAGCUCUCCGAAGUUAAAGCGAGAUCUCAACUAUGUUCCUGUUUUGCCUUUCCUGAAGUCAAACAAAUGUUCAAUAGCCACGUGGAUAUUUGGCUUGUUAUUUGUUCAUUCAUUCAUUCAGCAUUUAUGGAAUCCUAGCUGUAUACUAAUCAUUGCAUUUGGC